AAAUUUAAAAAGAAGAAUACCUAACGGGAAAUGAUGCUGUGUUCUUCCCACCCCACUGUUUCAGCAAACAAACAAGUCACGCGCCGCUCAUUCAUUCUCUUUAAGUGUUUUAAUGCAGAAAAGAAAGAAUUUAUGAAAAAAGGAGCGGCUUUCAUUCUCCCUUGUAAUUCUACUGCUUUGUUGUUCAUAAACCUAGUGGAAGGACACAAGGAAGGACAGAGACAUAUUGAGUGAGCGUAUUGUGUUGUGUUAGGAGUAGAGCACAUAUGGUAUACGACAAGGUAUGCAAUUCCUGAAACUUCCUCGCCUUCUUAUGCCAUACGUGAGGAGGAUACAUCUUCAUUCGCAGCCAUUGCCGUCACAAAGCACCUGCAAAUUUGACAGUAUUGAUGAUGCUGUGGCUUUGUUUCACCGCAUGGUCGAUAUGCAUCCCCUGCCAUCGAUUGUAGAAUUCACCAAAAUCUUGGGAACGAUUGCGAAGAUGAGAUACUAUGCCACAGCUAUUGAUCUUUAUACCCUAAUGGAAUAUAAGGGUGUUGUGCCGUUUACAGUUACUUUUAACAUCUUGAUCAACUGUUUCUGCCACAUGGGUCAGAUGGAUUUUGCUUUCUCUGUAAUGGGUAAGAUUCUUAAGUGGGGUUGUCGACCAAAUGUUGUGACUUUUACUACGCUGAUGAAGGGGUUCUGUGUUAAUGAUAAAAUGCUGGAUGCACUAUACAUAUAUGAUGAAAUGGUUGCACGAAGGAUUCGGUUUGACGAUGUUCUGUAUGGAACCUUAAUCAAUGGGCUGUGUAAGAGUAAGAUAGGAAAACCAAGAGCUGCCGUUCAACUGCUUCAAAAAAUGGAGGAGAGACAGUUGGUUAAGCCCAAUCUUAUAAUGUACAAUACAGUUGUCCAUGGUUUGUGCAAAGAUGGAAAUAUAAAUGAGGCACGUGUUUUGUGUUCUAAAAUGAUUGUUCAGGGAAUUUUCCCUGACAUUUUCACUUAUAGUUCAUUAAUUUAUGGUUUGUGUCGUGCAGGCCAACGGAAAGAAGUUACAUCAUUGCUGAAUGGGUUUUGUUUAAACAAUAAAGUGGAUGAGGCAAGAGAAUUAUUUAAUGUGAUGAUUGAAAGAGGUGAACAGCAUGACAUCAUUAAUUACAAUAUUUUGAUGAAUGGAUAUUGUUUAAACAAUAAAGUGGGUGAGGCAAGAAAAUUAUUUCAUAUGAUGGUUGAAAGAGGUGAACAACCUGACACUAUUACUUACACUAUUUUGAUGCAUGGAUAUUGUUUAAUUGAUAAAGUGGACGAGGCAAGAAAUUUAUUUCAUGGGAUGAUUGAAAGGGGUUUGGUGCCUGAUGUUUGGAGCUAUAACAUCUUGAUUAAAGGUUAUUGCAAGUUUGAAAGAGUGGGUGAAGCUAUGAAUUUACUUGAAGAUAUGUUUCUUAAGAAUUUAGUUCCAAACAUUAUAACUUACAAUUCUGUAGUUGACGGUUUAUGCAAAUCUGGAGGAAUCUUGGAUGCAUGGAAGCUUGUUGAUGAAAUGCAUUACUGUUGUCAACCACCUCCAGAUGUAACCACUUACAAUAUCUUGUUAGAGUCUCUAUGUAGAAUUGAGUGUGUUGAAAAGGCAAUUGCAUUUUUUAAACACCUCAUCUUUGAAAGAAGUUUUGCACCUAAUGUUUGGAGUUACAACAUCUUGAUUAGUGGUUGUUGCAAGAAUAGAAGAUUGGAUGAAGCCAUUAAUCUUUUUAAUCAUAUGUGUUUCAAGAAUUUGGUUCCAGAUAUUGUAACCUACAAUAUCUUGUUAGAUGCUUUAUUCAAUGGGCAGCAACUUGACAAGGCAAUUGCAUUAUUAGUCCAAAUUGUUGAUCAAGGUAUUAGUCCAAAUUUGCGAACAUACAAUAUACUUAUUAAUGGGUUGCACAAAGGGGGGAGGCCAAAGACUGCACAGAAGAUUUCCCUGUAUCUUUCCAUUAGAGGUUACCAUCCAGAUGUCAAAACAUAUAUAAUCAAUGAGCUUUGUAAAGGUGGAUUGUGAGAAUAAAGAAGGGCCAUGCUAUUAAAAUAAAUGGAAGUCAAUUAUCGCCUCCCUUCCAUAAAUUUUGAGUCAGUUAUUCAUUCAUCUCUGGAGAAACAAAGUUAGAAUGAUGAAGCUGAGAAGCUUUUUUGAGAAAUGAUCACUAGAUGUGCAGAAAACAAGUUUUGCAAACACCAGAAUCUGCAUCAGCCAGCACUAGGCACCUUGCCCAGAGUCUCAUCCAUUUUCUCCUGCUCCCCCUUUUUUGCCCACUAUCUUCAAUUUCAACUCCAGGCAAUAGCUAGAGAAGUUGCUGUUGGUGCUGCUUUAUUAUUCACUGCUCCUUCAAGCGUUUUCAUGGUGGUGCUGAAGAAAAAGAUUUUUUCUUUGAUGUGCAUGGUGAGUCAUGAUUUUUCACCCUACCAAAAAAGAGUAAAGGAAUAGCAAAAAAAGACAUUGGAGGAAAUUAUUAACAGGGAUCUCAUGGUUAAUAAUAUCCCUAAGAAUUUGGUUUUUUUAUCAAGCCCAGUAGCUUGGUGACUUGUUGGUCAUGCGAGCCCUGGUGCAGCGGUAAAGUUGUGCCUUGGUGACUUGUUGGUCAUGGGUUCGAAUCCGGAAACAGCCUCUUUGCAUAUGCAAGGGUAAGGCUGCGUAUAACAUCCUUCCCCCAUACCUUCGCAUAGUGAAGAGCCUCUGGGCAAUGGGGUACGAAGUUUUUAUCAAGCCCAGUAGCAUCUUGUAAUCUAUGUAGCUGACCUUACCAUAAUGGUAUGAUGCUAUUGUUGUUGUGCAUGGUCAGAAGUUUUAAGUCAUUAAUUGAGUGGAAUUUGAUUUUUUACAUCUAUUUGCAGAUACAUCUUUGGCAGCUUGGUGUUGAUCAUAAGUUCCUGCCGAUUGUCUUUUUUAUCCUCUUUCCUUCUUAUUCAUGGUCUUUGUUUAAGAGAAUUCUAAUUAAAAAAAGAAAAGAAAGAAAAGGACUAAAGUGCUUCUUAAUGGCAUACACAUUUUUUCAUUUAUCAUUUUCUGGAAAAUUGAACUCAGAAUCUAUGUCAGUAUUACCAAGAAGCAGAGAAGGUGCUUAUGUUAUUGAAUCCAGAUAUUGAUGCCACUUUUUCCUGAUUUAGCUUAUAAUGAACUUCUUAGUAAGCUAUUCGAGGAACUUGGUGUGACUGUUGAUGAUGUGACGGAAUUAAUUGAGAGUUGGCACCUAUUUUCUAGCAAAUUUUACUAUGGAGUAGAUAGAGACAAGGAAAGAAAGACAUAGUGCCUACUGGGAAUUGGUUCUGAAUGACAUACAGGAUACUUUUGAACUCCUGACCAAUUUACAAUGAAAAAGAUGGGUAGAUGGAUAUGCAUCUUUAGUAGUUUCCCCAUGCUUGCAAAAGAUACGAAAGGGACAGAACAGAAAAUAUAAUGAUAUUCACUGCUGUUAGGGAGUCCAUAUCAAACAUCACCCUGGUGAAUAUGGUCAGACCCAAAAGUUGUUGCCUCGUCAUAGUCCCUCAGCGCAUGCAUGCAUAAUAGUUUCAGGAGCAUUAUUACACUUAGAACAGUUAUCAGAAAUGGAAAGGCACCACUUAACUGCGCUCCACAUUAGUUAACAGCCUCCCAUGAAGGGUCUUCCAAAGAAACAUCCCACCUCUUUGAGGGCCUCUCCAUCUCCAUACAAGGCGGAAGGAAUCUGGGACUUAAGUCCUAGGGUGAGAAUCUCUAGAAAGGAAUAAAUAUUUCUUCUUUAUAUUUUAUUUCUUGUCAAUUUUUUAUUAGUUGUGUGUAAGAGUGAUUGUUAAGUAUGCGCCUACACAAUAAUGAUUCUUGCGCCUAGGUGGUUCAGGGUGGCUAAGGACUAAGGAGUUACCGUAGCUUAUUAAUUAAUUUUAAUUUUUUGUAAUGUAACUGAAUUUGUAAGAAAUUACAAGUUAGUCCUUUUUUUUUAAAUAUAGGGUCAAACAUGAAUCUGGAUAUGUGAAAUAAAGGAUCCGGAUCUUUUCCA